CCCUUGCUGGUCUAGUGGCCAGGAUUUCUGGUUUUCAUCCAGGCUUCCCAGGUUCAAUUCUUGGGAAGGGAA
rnacentral:tRNA from 1 species